rnacentral:rRNA from 1 species
CAGCCGCCGCGGGAAUACGUAGGUGGCAAGCGUUGUCCGGAAUUAUUGGGCGUAAAGCGCGCGCAGGCGGAUCAGUUAGUCUGUCUUAAAAGUUCGGGGCUUAACCCCGUGAUGGGAUGGAAACUGCUGAUCUAGAGUAUCGGAGAGGAAAGUGGAAUUCCUAGUGUAGCGGUGAAAUGCGUAGAUAUUAGGAAGAACACCAGUGGCGAAGGCGACUUUCUGGACGAAAACUGACGCUGAGGCGCGAAAGCCAGGGGAGCGAACGGGAUUAGAGACCCGCGUAGUCCCUGUCUCUUAUACC